rnacentral:rRNA from 1 species
GACUCCGUGAAGCUGGAUUCGCUAGUAAUCGCGCAUCAGCCAUGGCGCGGUGAAUACGUUCCCGGGCCUUGUACACACCGCCCGUCAAGCCAUGGAAGCCGGGGGCGCUUGAAGUGCGUUGCCGCAAGGCGCGCCCUAGAGCGAAACCGGUGACUGGGGCUAAGUCGUAACAAGGUAAC